rnacentral:rRNA from 1 species
GUGCCAGCCGCCGCGGUAAUACAGAGGUCUCAACCGUUGUUCGGAUUCAUUGGGCGUAAAGGGUGCGUAGGCGGUCGUGCAAGUCGGAUGUGAAAUCUCAGGGCUCAACCCUGAAACUGCAUUCGAUACUGCGCGGCUAGAGUGCUGGAGGGGAGACUGGAAUUUACGGUGUAGCAGUGAAAUGCGUAGAUAUCGUAAGGAAGACCAGUGGCGAAGGCGAGUCUCUGGACAGCAACUGACGCUGAGGCACGAAGGCCAGGGGAGCAAACGGGAUUAGAUACCCCCGUAGUCC